rnacentral:misc_RNA from 1 species
GAUGAAGAACGUAGCGAAAUGCGAUAAGUAGUGUGAAUUGCAGAAUUCAGUGAAUCAUCGAAUCUUUGAACGCACAUUGCGCCCUUCGGUAUUCCGUUGGGCAUGCCUGUUCGAGCGUCAUUUAAACCUUCAAGCUCUGCUUGGUGUUGGGUGUUUGUUCCGCCCGCGCGCGGACUCGCCUCAAAUUCAUUGGCAGCCGGUAUGUUGGCUUCGUGCACAGCACAUUGUGUCGCGACUCCAGCCUACCUCCUUCCAUCAAGCCCCCCUAUUACUUUGGCCUCGGAUCAGGUAGGGAUACCCGCUGAACUUAAGCAUAUCAAUAAGCGGAGGA